CGAUUGAGUUUGAUCCUGGCUCAGGAUGAACGCUGGCGGCGUGCUUAACACAUGCAAGUCGAGCGAAGCACUUUUUUAGAACUCUUCGGAGGGAAGAGAGGGUGACUUAGCGGCGGACGGGUGAGUAACGCGUGGGCAACCUGCCUUACACAGGGGGAUAACAAUUAGAAAUGAUUGCUAAUACCGCAUAAGACCCCAGUACCGCAUGGUACAGAGGUAAAAACUGAGGUGGUGUAAGAUGGGCCCGCGUCUGAUUAGGUAGUUGGUGGGGUAGAAGCCUACCAAGCCGACGAUCAGUAGCCGACCUGAGAGGGCGACCGGCCACAUUGGGACUGAGACACGGCCCAAACUCCUACGGGAGGCAGCAGUGGGGAAUAUUGCACAAUGGGGGAAACCCUGAUGCAGCGACGCCGCGUGAGUGAGGAAGUAUUUCGGUAUGUAAAGCUCUAUCAGCAGGGAAGAAAAUGACGGUACCUGACUAAGAAGCCCCGGCUAACUACGUGCCAGCAGCCGCGGUAAUACGUAGGGGGCAAGCGUUAUCCGGAUUUACUGGGUGUAAAGGGAGCGUAGACGGAUAAGCAAGUCUGAUGUGAAAAUCCGGGGCCCAACCCCGGAAUUGCAUUGGAAACUGCAUAUCUAGAGUGUCGGAGAGGCA
rnacentral:rRNA from 1 species